GGCUGCUGGACGCCCACGGGGUUGCUGGCUCUGGAGAGGGAACUGGUAGUGCUGGAGGGUGAUCCAGGGGGAGCAGUCCCCACCUCCACCAUUGCUCAACCACCCGCCUGCUUUCUGCUCAGCUUUCCCCAGAGGCCUGCUGGGGGCUUGCUGCGCAGCCGCAAACAAAAAGGCCUCUUUGUAGAUCCUCCCCUAGGACGCUCCGGAGGAAACAGCUCCCCUCGAAGCGGUAUUCAGCAUUCACGGCUGUCACCCAGGAGUCCCUGCUGGGUGCUGGGCCCAGUGCCGGGAGCUACAAAGAUUCUUGAUUAAUUCACCAUUUCCCAGCCAUUGGAAUAAGAAGUGCCUCUGUAGCAUUUGCUGGUGCUCACUCAGACAUCUGCCUUUAUUUUUGUGGACAAAGAAAAAUUUACAGGGUAUUGCCUGUACCAUCUGCCUGGGUCUCAGACUGAGGAUGACGAGGAGCAGAGUGGCAGCCAACUCAUAAUAGUCUUACAGCUUCCUGUUACUGUGCUGAGCAGGCAGUGACGCUCCUAUGCAGGACCCUACAG
rnacentral:lncRNA from 10 species